rnacentral:tRNA from 1 species
CAUUAUGAAGCUACUAAGCAUUAGCCUUUUAAGCUAAAGUUAGAGAACCAACCUUUCUCCAUAAUGA